rnacentral:sRNA from 1 species
UAUAACGAAAUUAUUCGUUAUCAGCUUUUUCUGCUGACUUUCAUUCGGAGGAGUAUUACUACUUUAGAGGCAGGGGGUAUUGCGUCGUAUCAAUUCACAGGCAUAAAAAAAGCGCCCGAAGGCGCUUUUUUUG